ACUACGGGAGGCUGCAGUGAGGAAUAUUGGUCAAUGGGCGAGAGCCUGAACCAGCCAAGUCGCGUGAAGGAUGACUGCCCUACGGGUUGUAAACUUCUUUUAUAAAGGAAUAAAGUGCGGCACGUGUGCCUUUUUGUAUGUACUUUAUGAAAAAGCAUCGGCUAACUCCGUGUCAGCAGCCGCGGUAAUACGGAGGAUCCGAGCGUUAUCCGGAUUUAUUGGGUUUAAAGGGUGCGUAGAUGGGUUGUUAAGUCAGUUGUGAAAGUUUGCGGCUCAACCGUAAAAUUGCAAUUGAUACUGGCAGCCUUGAGUACAGUUGAGGUAGGCGGAAUUCGUGGUGUAGCGGUGAAAUGCAUAGAUAUCACGAAGAACUCCGAUUGCGAAGGCAGCUUACUAAACGGCCACUGACAUUGAUGCUCGAAAGUGUGGGUAUCAAACAGGAUUAGAUACCCUGGUAGUC
rnacentral:rRNA from 1 species